rnacentral:rRNA from 1 species
GGAGCGUCAUAGAGGGUGAGAAUCCCGUCUUUGACACGGACUACCAGGGCAUUGUGGUGCGCUCUCGAAGAGUCGCGUUGUUUGGGAAUGCAGCGCAAAAUGGGUGGUAAAUUCCAUCUAAAGCUAAAUAUUGGCGAGAGACCGAUAGCGAACAAGUACCGUGAGGGAAAGAUGAAAAGAACUUUGGAAAGAGAGUUAAACAGUACGUGAAAUUGCUGAAAGGGAAACGCUUGUAGUCAGUCGCGUUGGCCGGGGAUCAGCUCUGCUUUUGUGGGGUGUACUUCCUGGUUAACGGGUCAGCAUCAGUUUCGAUCGCCGGAAAAGGGUUUGAGGAAUGUGGCAACCUCGGUUGUGUUAUAGCCUCUUAUCGUAUACGGCGGCUGGGACUGAGGAACUCAGCACCCUCUGGUGUGCUUAGGAUGCUGGCAUAAUGGCUUUAAGCGACCCGUCUUGAAACACGGACCAAGGAGUCUAACAUGCUUGCGAGUGUUUGGGUGGUAAACCCGAGCGCGUAAUGAAAGUGAAAGUUGGGAUCUCUGUCGUGGAGAGCACCGACGCCCGGACCUGAUGUUUACUGACGGAUCUGCGGUAGAGCACGUAUGUUGGGACCCGAAAGAUGGUG